GGUAGUUUCCUGUUGUUGGGAUCCACCUUUCUCUCGACAGCACGACACUGCCUUCAUUACUUCAGUUG
ensembl:miRNA